rnacentral:lncRNA from 1 species
GCCUUCUGAAGACCCGGAAUCACAAUAGGCACAACUGGUGCCUGAACAGGUGCUGCUGGAGUCUCCACAGCUGGAGCCUGCUCCUGAUCCGGGAAAACUGGUAGGUCAACAAGUGCUGCCCCCUCAUCUCUGCCUCGACCACGAACUCGACCGCGUCCACGGCCUCUAGUGGCCUCAGUAGGUGAUACAGGUUGUCGUCUGCCACAUCUAGUAGCACGGGUUAUCACCAUCUAUGAGUGAAUAGAAUAAUAGAAUUUAGUUCUCGGAGCAACAAAGUCGCACGAUAAGAAUUCCAAGAAUAUAAAGUUUCUUAAUGGUUCUGCAGCAUCCCGAGGAUAGGUACAAACGUCUCCAUACCGAUCUGCGAGACUCUACUAAACUGUCUCAUGACUCGCGAGACCAAGUAACCUGGCUCUGACACCAACUUGUCACGACCCCAACCCGAUCGUAAUGGCACCGAGCACACUACUAGGCAAGCCCCACCAUUUAUAACAAUAACCCCAAUUUAUUAAAUAGAUAAAGAUAAUGCCAUUUAAGUCAAAAGUCUGAAAUACUGAUAAUAAUGCGGAAUAUCUAACAAAAUAACAAUACAGCCCAACUAGGACCCGAUGUCACGAACAUGAGCCUCUAGAAUACAGAGUAAUAUCCUACUACAAAGUCUGUCUAAAACUGAAAAUACGGAAAUAAAUGAUAGAAAUAGAGGGGAGAAUCAUCGGCUGUGAACACCCUGCAGAUACCUCAAAAUACUCCCGAAAUAAAACUUUGAAUCAACUAGAUCUACUCAGCCUGAGACUACCCUGGAUCAGCACGCAAGGUGCAGGGAGUAAAGUGAGUACUCCGACCCAAUGAGUAAUAAACAUAACUACAGUCUGUAAGGAAGAAAACGCAGAAAAUGCACAAACUUUUCUAUAUCUAGCAGCUCAUAUCCAAAAUAGUGGAAACAGUAUACAACAAGUUAUACAGUUAAGAAAUAAUGCAUGAAAGAAUGCAACACAUAUAACGGUACACACUAGUACCCGCUGCGGCGUGAAGCCCACUCCACUUAUCUAACGUCGAUGGCGCUCAUUGGGGGUGUGUACUGACUCCUGAGGGGCUCCUAUAGUCCAAGCGCAAUAUCAGCCAGGUAUUGGCAUAAAAUAAGCUCUCGGCCUCAAUAUCAAUAUAUAUAAUCGCUGCGGCGUGAAACCUGAUUCAUAUCAAGGAAACAUCCUCACUACCGGGUCCCCGACCCAUCUCAAUAAAAUAAGUUCACACCAAUUGGGCGUGACAUACUAUAGGGAUUUUAGCCCUCACAUCCUUAUUCAUUUAAUGUUAAUGUAUAAAAUACAGUUAUUAUAUUAUUUUUGACAUUUGAAAACAUGACUGAGAAUCUAUGUUAUGCACAAAAAUGAGGAAAACACAUAAGGAUCCCCUAAGGAUUCUACAGGUCGGCACAAGGCUCAAACACGGCAAUAAGCCCAAUUCACAAUAAUAAAGUAUGCAUCUCAAUCGCCAAUAUAGUAAACAUUAACACUUGGAAUGGACUAAGUCUGAAUCCCCAAUAGUAAACGACCCCGCUCUCAUCGUGGAAUGCAUCUCACACCUCAAUAUAGCAUUAGAAUGUGAAAGUCUGGGGUUUCAAACCCUCAGAGCAGCAUUUACAUUCAUUACUCACCUCUAGCCGGCCGAAAACUAGCUAGCAAUGUCCUUGCCUCUCGAAUCGACCUCCUCGCAUGUCGAAUCUGGCCAAAACUACAACGAAUACAUUACAAUAGUCUAAGGGAAUAUAACCCAAUCAAAAAGACUCAAAAAAUAUCAAAAACCACGAAAUUUGCAAAACCCGAGCCCUGGGCUCACUUUUCGAAAGUCAAAAAAUUUAACACCAAAAUAUUUCUUAUCUCUCCACGAGUCUAUUCAUGUAAAAUUUAUCAAAAUCAGAGUCCAAAUGCUCCCAUAAAUUCCAAUUUCUCAUAAAAAACCCAAGCCCUAGUUCUUCCCCUUUUUACUCAAAUUUCAUGAAUUUAGGUGUUGAAAUCACAAUUAGAUGAUGUUUCUAGGCCAUAGGGCUUACCUCCAAUCGAUUCCUAGUCAAAAACCUCUAAAUUCCUCAUCAAAAGCUCCCAAGGUUGCUUGAGAAUGGUGGAAAAUAGACUUGGUUCGCGGAUGAAAUGUUAUUAAAAACCCUCUCUGCUCGUCUAUUUCCUUCUAUGCGAACGCGAGACCCCCCCCCCCCCCNNNNNNNNNNNNNNNNNNNNNNNNNNNNNNNNNNNNNNNNNNNNNNNNNNNNNNNNNNNNNNNNNNNNNNNNNNNNNNNNNNNNNNNNNNNNNCCCCCCCCCCCCUCGCGUUCACGAUGCACAAAAAUUCCUCAGAUCAAAUUAAGCCUUCGCAAAUGUAUCUGGUCUCCCGCGAACGUGAAGGCGCAGGGCACAGACAUAUGCGAACUCGACCUAUUGAACAGGAACGCGUUGAACACCCAGACUGACCCUCUACUUUACUCUACGUGAACGCGUGCCCCAUCCCGCGAACGCGAAGCGCCAAUGCCUCAACCUACGCGACCACGUUGAUCAUUUUCCUGACCUCCAAAAUUAACCCUACGCGAACGUGACACUUGCCACGUGAAUGCGAAGGCUUAAAAAUAGUCUACACUGCUGUUGCAUUUUCUGCAACACUCAAAGUCCAAAAAUCCUUCUGUUAAUCACCCGGAAUCACCCCGAGGCCCAAGGGACCUCGACCAAAAACACCAACAUAUACCAAAACAUCAUACAAACUUAUUCCAAUCAUCAUAACACGUCAAACAACACUAAAAUCAUAAAUUCACAUAAGAUUCAAGCCUAAGUUUCUUCAAAACUUCCGAAUUGCACAUUCGAUAAAAAACCCGACCUAAACACCUCCGAAUGACCUGAAAUUUUACAUAGAUAUCCAAAAUUACCUAACAGAGCUACUGUAACUCUCGAAAUUCCAUUUCAAGCCUUGAAUCAUAAUCUCACCUAUCAAUCGGAAAUCGCCAAAAUUUAAACUUCGCCAAUUCAAGCCUAAUUCUGCAUCGGACCUCAAAAUUCAAUUCCGAUAGCACUCCUAAGUCAUAAUCAUCCCCCGAAGCUAAUCAAAUCAUCAUGAUUCACAUCUGAGCCCUAUAACUAAAUAGUCAACUUCCAGUUGACUUUUCCAAAGUAAGCUUCCCUUUAAGAGACUAAAUGUCUCAUUUUCAUCUGAAACCAAUCCAAUUCUACCUGAUAAACUCAAAUACUGAUAUUGAAACAUAGAUAAGUAUAAUAUGAGGUAAACAAGGCGGUAACUCACGUGACAACGGGCCGGGUCAUCACAAAAUAUAGUCUCGAGUUGAUUACAAUGAGCAAGCAAUUAAAUCACAGAACACUAAUCAGAAAUGUGACAGGACUAUUGAAAUUACGAAUCUACAUUAGAGAAUCAUCAUCAAUUCCAUUUCAUAUCUCAACAUGUGAAGCUACAUGAUAGAGUCUCGAGGUAUGUACCUAGAAUGAGAAAGGAAUAGAAAAUGAGCAAAUCAACAGCAACACAGGACUUAGCAAAAGCUCCAGAAAUCCAGCAAGGGAUAACGGGGUCUCGAAAAAUAAGUAAUUUCUGCUGGGCCUUUAUCCUUUUUGUAGGUUCAUUAGGCUUCUUAUUAGUUGGAACUUCCAGUUAUCUUGGUAGAAAUUUGAUAUCUUUUUUUCCGCCUCAGCAAAUCAUUUUUUUUCCACAUCUGCUGGGCCUUUAUCCUUUUUGUAGGUUCAUUAGGCUUCUUAUUAGUUGGAACUUCCAGUUAUCUUGGUAGAAAUUUGAUAUUUUUUUCCCGCCUCAGCAAAUCAUUUUUUUUACUUAAAGUAGACUCUUAAACACCCAAGAGUGCUUCAGUGAUCAACAAUCACUAAAACUGGCUCAAAAUUGAUCCGUUUGAACCCAAAUCAACUAAAAACCAAAUCAGAGAUCAUUGUGGACUUUAAUUACUAGAAUCUGAACUAAGAGAAGUCAAUCAAUCACAACAUUUGAAAUUAAACUUGAGGAAUAGAUGGAAAAGUACUAUUUUUUGGGGUUUUCAGCUUUUGUAUAUAUAUUUUUUGAUUUUUUUAGGUUGGAAAAAGGGAUUUCAAACUUUGAGAUCUAGAAUUUAAAAUCUGAAAUUCAAAUAUUUCAAUCCGGAAACUAUGGCCUAUUUGUUGGGAAUUAGAUGACUGAAAAAAGACCCCUCACCAAGGCAAUUGUGAUGCAUUUUAUAGGCAUCCAGAAGAGAGCAACAGACUUCAAAAUUUCUUUUAGGUCCCUGUUAAUUUUCCACUUUUAGUCCCUGUAUUUUUAACUUGGGACACAAGGACCUACCACUAUCAAUCUAAACUUUUAACUACCACUCAUCCUAGAAGCUUCUAGUAAUUUCCAAAUUCAGUCCCCAAAUGAAAUCCCCAAAUUAACCCUUUAUUAACUAAUUAUACUUAGGAUUGACCCACUAACUCUAAUCAACUAAACUAAACAUGGAUGUACUAAACUAUAACUAAAAGUUAUCUGACAAAAAAAAAAAGAAUUAAUCACAGAAUUUGUUCAAUUAUUAACCAACUCGAUCAACAAUAAAAAGUAUACCACUAUAUUAGUCUAACAGAACUAAGCAUAGAGGUCAAGCUAAACUAGAAAACAUUUAAAAGACAACUACCAUAUUGAACUAAUCGGAACGAAUAGUUAGCAGGCGAUAGUUAAACUAAAAAUCAAAACCUAUCGGACCCUAAACAUUAACUAAUCAUGCAAACUAAUUAUUGUCAAAAUAAUUCUAACACUCUAAUUGAAUCCACAUGCUAGCAAGAAAAAUAGGGAUAUAAGAGUGACUGAAAAAGAAAUAAAAAGGAAGGGAACAAACUUACUAAACAAAAUCCGUCCAGUUCAUCAAUUCUCUAAUUUGGCCAUUUCCGAUGAAAUUCGAGCUCUAAUGGCACUAAAAUCUUUAUGAGGUCAGUCCAGGAACCCUAUCAUAUCUCAUUUGGUAAGGAUUGGUUAUUUAAGUUUUGGCUAGAGAAUCUAAAAAUAUAAAUUCGAGAAUUUACAGUGAGAUUCGAGAUGUGUGGUUAUGAGGGUUGGGUAGAGAACGAUAAGGAGAACCUAUGGUGUGAAUUUGGGAUAAGUGACAUCAUGGCCAAAAAACUUUAAAUGGAUAUUCGAUGAGCUCUAGUGGGAUUUGAAAGAAACAAGCAACAUAUUCGAGUAGAGGAGGCGGAGAGGAAGUUAGGGUGUUAUUUUGGGGUGGUUUGGAGGUGGUAACGUUCACCGCCGGCGGCGACUUCCGGCGGCGUUACAGAGAUACGAGGAAGACGACUUAUGUAUUAGGGUUAGUUAAUUUUUUU